ACCGAAAUAGCUCAGUUGGGAGAGCGUUAGACUUUAGCUCGAGAGUCCCUGGUUGGAUCGCGGGAUUCUGCA
rnacentral:tRNA from 1 species